rnacentral:rRNA from 1 species
UACGUAGGGUGCAAGCGUUAAUCGGAAUUACUGGGCGUAAAGCGUGCGCAGGCGGUUGUGCAAGACAGAUGCGAAAUCCCCGGGCUUAACCUGGGAACUGCAUUUGUGACUGCACGGCUAGAGUGCGGCAGAGGGGGAUGGAAUUCCGCGUGUAGCAGUGAAAUGCGUAGAUAUGCGGAGGAACACCGAUGGCGAAGGCAGCCUCUGGGCCAACCACUGACGCUCAUGC